CAGUCGCCGCGGGAAUACGUAGGUGGCAAGCGUUGUCCGGAAUUAUUGGGCGUAAAGCGCGCGCAGGCGGAUCAGUCAGUCUGUCUUAAAAGUUCGGGGCUUAACCCCGUGAGAGGAUGGAAACUGCUGAUCUAGAGUAUCGGAGAGGAAAGUGGAAUUCCUAGUGUAGCGGUGAAAUGCGUAGAUAUUAGGAAGAACACCAGUGGCGAAGGCGACUUUCUGGACGAAAACUGACGCUGAGGCGCGAAAGCCAGGGGAGCGAACAGGAUUAGAUACCCGGGUAGUCCCUGUCUCUUAUACA
rnacentral:rRNA from 1 species